AAUAGGAACAAGGAAGCCAAAAAGCAGCUGAUUUGGUGAACCUCGCCGUCUCCGUAAGUAAAGAUGUCAGCCGUCGCCUCCCGCUGUUUCCUGCGUUCUGCCGCAUCACGAACGGUGAACUUUGCCGCCGGUGGCAAGUCAAGACCCACCCGGUCUCCGUUUCGGGUGCCGAAGCAAAGUUCACUCUCUAACCGCAUUUUCAGGUCGCCGCCGCCGGCAAUGAGUUGCUGCGUUGAAUCGAUGCAGCCGUAUCACAUGGCCACGGCUUCCGCAUUGCUGACUUCGAUGCUCUCCGCUUGCCCCCGCUCUUAUGGUUGGACUCAUGAAGAUUGCAAUGAUGAUCUAUGAUGAAUGACAGAGGGUUCGAGAAAAGUCUAUAUAGAUGAGCUCUAAAUAAGAUGGAUGAUUGUUGUUUGUGAAUGAGGUGCACGCUACAUUCCAUGGAUUUCAGUUGUUUUCUGCUUGGCCCCGUGUGAUAAUUCCAACACUUUUUUGUGCAAAUGUGCUAGCGUCCACAGCAGCGUACCGUGCUAGAAACUACUGUAAUUUUAUUAUUAAACUUAUUUUAGUUUAUUUACAAUAUUUUAUGUCACCCUAUUCUAACUUACAGAUGAUUUCAUUACUCUUAUUAACGAGUCUAUUAUGGUAACUACCGGAACCAGCAUAAUCAAUUAAUCUUUUAA